rnacentral:rRNA from 1 species
UAUAGUCAAGUAAUUAAGUGCAUGUGGUGGAUGCCUUGGCAGUCAGAGGCGAUGAAAGACGUGAUAGCCUGCGAAAAGCUCCGGGGAGGCGGCAAAUAUCCUUUGAUCCGGAGAUGUCUGAAUGGGGGAACCCACCUACUUUAAGGUAGGUA